rnacentral:rRNA from 1 species
GGUGCAACGCCGCGUGGGGGACGAAGGUCUUCGGAUUGUAAACCCCUGUCACACAGGACUAACCAUAAGGUUAAUAGCCUUAUCUGAAUUAACUGUGAGAGGAAGUAGUGGCUAACUCCGUGCCAGCAGCCGCGGUAAUACGGAGACUACGAGCGUUACUCGGAUUCACUGGGCGUAAAGGGAGCGCAGGCGGGAUAGUGUGUUAGGUGUGAAAUGCCGGGGCUUAACUUCGGAGCUGCGCCUAAAACUAUUAUUCUAGAGUGCUGGAGAGGUAAGCGGAAUUUCCGGUGUAGCGGUAAAAUGCGCAGAUAUCGGAAGGAACACCGAAGGCGAAGGCAGCUUACUGGACAGAAACUGACGCUCAUGCUCGAAAGCGUGGGGAGCGAAAGGGAUUAGAUACCCCUGUAGUCCACGCCCUAAACGUUGUACACUAGGUAUUGGAGGAAUCAUCCCCUUCAGUGCCCCAGCUAACGCGAUAAGUGUACCGCCUGAGGACUACGACCGCAAGGUUAAAACUCAAAGAAAUUGACGGGGGCCCGCACAAGCGGUGGAGCAUGUGGCUUAAUUCGAUGCAACGCGAAGAACCUUACCUGGGUUUGACAUGUAUUUGAAUAUGCGUGAAAGCGCAUAGUCCUUCGGGACAGGUACACAGAUGCUGCAUGGCUGUCGUCAGCUCGUGUCGUGAGAUGUUCGGUUAAGUCCGGCAACGAGCGCAACCCUCGCCCUAUGUUACCAGCGGGUAAAGCCGGGGACUCUUAGGGGACAAACCUGAA